rnacentral:rRNA from 1 species
UGGGGAAUCUUGGACAAUGGGCGAAAGCCUGAUCCAGCCAUGCCGCGUGUGUGAAGAAGGUCUUCGGAUUGUAAAGCACUUUAAGUUGGGAGGAAGGGCAGUAAGCGAAUACCUUGCUGUUUUGACGUUACCGACAGAAUAAGCACCGGCUAACUCUGUGCCAGCAGCCGCGGUAAUACAGAGGGUGCAAGCGUUAAUCGGAAUUACUGGGCGUAAAGCGCGCGUAGGUGGUUCGUUAAGUUGAAUGUGAAAGCCCCGGGCUCAACCUGGGAACUGCAUCCAAAGCUGGCGAGCUAGAGGAGGGCAGAGGGUGGUGGAAUUGCCUGUGUAGCGGUGAAAUGCGUAGAUAUAGGAAGGAACACCAGUGGAGAAGGCGACCACCUGGGCUCAUACUGACACUGAGGUGCGAAAGCGUGGGGAGCAAACAGG